UCGUCGAUCUGCUGCGGGCAGAUGAAGUGAAUGUGGCUGUCGAUCCCGCCCGCGGUGACGAUCCGGCCCUCUGCGGCGAUGGCCUCGGUCCCCGGGCCGACGACGAUGUCGACGCCGGUCUGGGUGUCGGGAUUGCCGGCCUUGCCGAUCUUCGCGAUGCGCCCGUCCUUGAGACCGAUGUCGGCCUUGUAGAUGCCGGAAUGGUCGAAAAUCAGCGCGUUGGUGAUGACCGUGUCGACCGCGCCCUGCGCCCGCGUGGCCUGGCUCUGCCCCAUGCCGUCGCGG
rnacentral:sRNA from 1 species